rnacentral:lncRNA from 1 species
GAAAGAAGGCCUGUCAUAUAUUGUAUAUGUCACAAGCAAAAUAAAUUGCAUAAGUAGCAUCAUCUGGCUUCUUGCUGCCAAAGAGGUAAAACAUUCAGCACAUGAAGUAGCAGCUGUGGCAGUGCUGAAAGCUGGUGAAACCGUUUUGAGAGCUUUAGUAAUGGAAGUAAGUAGCAGGUGUGGAGACAUCCUUGCUACUGACUUGCUUUCUGGGGUGAUUUGAUGAAUCUACCUGUUACUAUUCCUGCCAAAAUAAGAAAUGCUGUUGUUCUAUUUAACUUGCCACCAUCUUUGGCAAAUAGGUCAAUAAUUUUUGUUUGGAGUGACAGAAUUCAAGAGAUGGAGAGAGUCCAAAAGAAGCAAAACAAUGCUAGUGCAUACCACUGUGACUCUACCAAAUCAGUGCAGAUGAAUUUUGUGAAGAAACAUCAACUCUCAGGAAGACUUAAAAAAUACAUAUAUUACCAGAGACUGAGCAAGUACUUGAGGUCAGAGUGUGAUAUCAUUUACACUAGCAUCAAUCUGGAUUACCCCCAUUGGUUCCACAGCAGUUGUCUUCAGUAGAGAUACUCUGGAUUUAGAACCAUGCAAGUAAAACAACCAUUUAACAUACUGGACACUGUGAAGUGAUAUGCAGAUAAAAGCAGUCAGAGUCAAACUCUGCCCCGGGUUAUAUCCGUGCAGCUCCUCUGAAGUCACUAAGUGCUUUCUUUGUCUCCCUAAUGCUUUGCAAUAUUUCUUGUCUCUUGUAUAAUACUUUUCUUUCCCUGACACAGACUCCUGCAGUUCUCUCCAAAAAAAUGGUGACGAACUAGCUGAGCAGUGACCUUUCAUAAUGAGAAAUACCACAACACUGUCUGUCUCACCAUAUUUUAACUGUUUCCUUUGCUGUACAACUGGCAACAAGGGGCUGCUUUUCACAUGUUUCGCAGUUCAGCAAUGGUAGCCUACAGCUUUUCAGCUAUUUUGACUGGUUUCAUAUUUGCAUUUGAAUGAGAAUCAGCCUGAUACUCUUUUUUCCAAACACAUAGGAAAAAAAAUGUGCCUUCUAUGUUACAUGCAUAAAAAGUGUGUGAAAUUAAUGGAGACUGUGCACAUAAUUGUGAAGAAAGAUGAAUUCUAAACCUAGUGAAAUUACAGUGGGAUGGCAUGGUAGGUUACCAAGGCUGUUGAACUGAAAUCUAUAUCUGUAUAAAUAGAAUAUAUAUAUAAGAGUAGCCGUCCUAUAACUGGUUUUUUUUUUUUUUUUUUUUUUUUUUUUUUUUUUUUUGAGAAAGAGAGAGAGAGAGAGGUACAGCAUCAGAGAAAAUCUGAUCAUCUCCUCUGUGCUACUUUUGUGGUUUUUGUGUUUCUGAAGGGAAGACAUUUCCUAUAGCUUGCCUAAAUACUGAGGACACUAAUGAAUUGCUUUAGAUAAGAGCAGUGUGUCCACCCAUUUUCAGCUUUUUGUCCUGGCAACUCUGCUUUUCUCUGUAGAUAAUGCUGCAGCAUUAUAACUCCAGACCAGCUAAACUGAGUGCUUAAGAGACCAUCUAUUUUAUAUGUUCCCCCAGAUUUUCUUAUCCUUCUUCACAUAGUAACAUAAUCAGAGUCUCGGGGGGUUUGACAUUGAGACAUACCAGAUUUUAAAAGUAUUCAAUCUUAAAAAUCUUAAAAAAAAAAAAAUAAAUAAAUCUUAGAAAUCUUUUAAUCUUUAAAA